rnacentral:rRNA from 1 species
GACGAACGCUGGCGGCGUGCUUAACACAUGCAAGUCGAACGGUAAGGCCCUUCGGGGUACACGAGUGGCGAACGGGUGAGUAACACGUGGGUGAUCUGCCCUGCACUUCGGGAUAAGCCUGGGAAACUGGGUCUAAUACCGGAUAGGACUCCGGACUGCAUGGUCUGGGGUGGAAAGCUUUUGCGGUGUGGGAUGGGCCCGCGGCCUAUCAGCUUGUUGGUGGGGUGAUGGCCUACCAAGGCGACGACGGGUAGCCGGCCUGAGAGGGUGACCGGCCACGCUGGGACUGAGAUACGGCCCAGACGCCUACGGGAGGCAGCAGUGGGGAAUAUUGCACAAUGGGCGCAAGCCUGAUGCGGCGACGCCGCGUGAGGGAUGACGGCCUUCGGGUUGUAAACCUCUUUCAGCACAGACGAAGCGCAAGUGACGGUAUGUGCAGAAGAAGGACCGGCCAACUACGUGCCAGCCGCCGCAGUAA